ensembl:lncRNA
AUGAUGGAUAACGGUAGCAGAGAGGUGUUAUGGAAGGAAGGGCUGGACACAGGACUGUUACAGGAGCGAAUUGGAAUACAGAAGGAACAGACGUUGGAUUGGAUUGAAAUAAAAAAUAUGUUGUUGGACAGUUGGAAAAAACAGGGAAAACAUGGGUUUCUAUAUGAAGAGAACAUCAUGCCAACCAUGGAUAAGCCUAAAGUAGAGAAAGAGCCUCAAAGAAAAGACCUUCAAGCGAAGUUUUAUGGGGACAAGGAGGAUAACAGGAGAUGGAUGGAAACCUUUCAACUUUUGCAGGCUAUGGAAAUGAAAAAAUGGAUGACAAGAGAAUUGGACAGCACAAAGCAAGAACUGAGAAGAGAGAUGGAGGAGAGGGACAGAGCUAGACUGACAGAGGAGAAAAAAUAUGUUCUUGCCACACAGGAGAUCACACAAGAACAUAUUUUUGGAAUUGCAAUUAUUUUUGCGAUUGCAGCAUCUAAGACCAUAAAUGAAGACUUGACUCAGAGGGUGAAAACACUGGAGACAGAGAACCUACAUCUGAAACAAGAAAUGGAGAAUUGGAGGGCAAGGGAACUCCAAGAGAGAGACUUAGAGAAACCAACCCGAAUGGUGGAGAUGGAAAAGAUGAUUAAAAUGAUGGAAUAUUACAGAGAGAGAUAUGAAAAAGAAAUGGCCCGAAUGGUCAAUGUUCAAAUGAAAGAGGAAAGAAGACAAGAGCAGGUCAACUUGGAUGUCAAAGAUAAAAAAAAUGUGUUGGAGGACAAGCAAAAAAUUGAAGAUGACAGAAAAAGCACAGAAGAUGUGGAACAAGAGAGAGCUCAAAAGAAAACAAACAGAGAGAAUGAGAAACCAGUGAGGGAAGACCACAACUGGGUGGAGGAGGAAAGUAAUGUUAAAGACAUGGGACAUGCAGAUGAAAAGACAGAAGGUGAAAGUAAGGUAUUGGAGACGGGGAAAGAAGGUGAUCAGACUGUGGAAAAGGAGUUUCUGAAAGACCAAGUACAGAUAAAGCCCUCUUCUAAGGAAGUUGUAGACUGGACAGACGUCAAGGAAGCGGAGAUUAAAGAGGAGAUCCACAAUGAUGUCUGUGAGGACCAUCAGGACAUUACAAUGACCAAAUCUGUUUUGAGGGACUCCAAAAAUGAAGACAGUGUCACCCUGAAGGACUGUAAGACCAACUCGGCAAACUUUCCUCUCAAAGUUUCCUCUCUUGAUGAAGCCACAGUAGCAACAAACACUGGGGUUGAGACUAAAGAGCUGAUCCAAAAUGAUGUGGCUGAGUACCAACAGGACAUUACUGUGACUGAAUCUAUUUUUAGUGACCCAAAAAUUGAGGAUGAAGAUAUUUCGCUUAAGGACACUAAGACCAACUCUGCAUGUUUCCAGGAGAUUACAGUUGGCCAACAAACACUGGAAGAGAGAAAUGUGAAGGACAAAGGGCAAAAUAGACUAGAAGAAGAGAGAAAGAAGAUGGAGGACCAAGAAAAGAAAUGGGUGGAAGAGGAAAUAAGAAAGGGAGAGAUGAUCAUAAUGGAGAAGCAAAAGAAGAGAGAGGAAGAGAACAGAAGGGUGGAGGACGAAAGAAAGGAAGAGGCAGUGAGGUUGGAGAUGAACAGAGAGAGAAUGGAGGAAGAGAAAAAGAUGAUGGAUGCAAACAAUGACGAUAAUCUGUUAAGGAGUCAGGAGGAGGAGAGAAUGAGAGCUCUGAAAUUAGAAAAGAGGAACAGAGUGACAGACGAACAGCUAACAGACACCUGGACAGAAGCAGUGAAUUUAGAAGUGAAAUACUCAGAUGAUGAGGACUGGAUAGACUCUGAACGUGAUAAUGAAAUCAAGAUCCAGACAGAUGAGAAGCAGCAGGACCUUGAGAGUGAGUUGGAGGAGAGCAUUGAUAAAGAACUGAGCCAUGGAGAGCACAGUGACAUAGAGAAUAAACUGGCAGAGAAAGAGGUUGAGAGA